AGUGAACGCUGGCGGUAUGCCUAACACAUGCAAGUCGAACGGCAGCACAGUAAGAUCUUGCUCUUACGGGUGGCGAGUGGCGGACGGGUGAGGAAUACAUCGGAAUCUACUUUUUCGUGGGGGAUAACGUAGGGAAACUUACGCUAAUACCGCAUACGACCUACGGGUGAAAGCAGUGGAGCUUCGGACCUUUCGCGAUUGAAUGAGCCGAUGUCGGAUUAGCUAGUUGGCGGGGUAAAGGCCCACCAAGGCGACGAUCAGUAGCUGGUCUGAGAGGAUGAUCAGCCACACUGGAACUGAGACACGGUCCAGACUCCUACGGGAGGCAGCAGUGGGGAAUAUUGGACAAUGGGCGAAAGCCUGAUCCAGCAAUACCGCGUGGGUGAAGAAGGCCUUCGGGUUGUAAAGCACUUUUGUUGGGAAAGAAAAGCAGCAGGUUAAUACCCCGCUGUUAUGACGGUACCCAAAGAAUAAGCACCGGCUAACUUCGUG
rnacentral:rRNA from 1 species